rnacentral:tRNA from 1 species
UCUCUGAUAGCUCAGUUGGUAAAGAAUCUGCCUGCAAUGCAGGAGACCCCGGUUCGAUUCCUGGGUCAGAAGA